CUUACUUACUCGUCUGAGCCUU
rnacentral:piRNA from 1 species